rnacentral:rRNA from 1 species
AUUGAACGCUGGCGGCAGGCCUAACACAUGCAAGUCGAGCGGAUGACGGGAGCUUGCUCCUUGAUUCAGCGGCGGACGGGUGAGUAAUGCCUAGGAAUCUGCCUGGUAGUGGGGGACAACGUUUCGAAAGGAACGCUAAUACCGCAUACGUCCUACGGGAGAAAGCAGGGGACCUUCGGGCCUUGCGCUAUCAGAUGAGCCUAGGUCGGAUUAGCUAGUUGGUGGGGUAAUGGCUCACCAAGGCGACGAUCCGUAACUGGUCUGAGAGGAUGAUCAGUCACACUGGAACUGAGGCACGGUCCAGACUCCUACGGGAGGCAGCAGUGAGGAAUAUUGGACAAUGGGCGAAAGCCUGAUCCAGCCAUGCCGCGUGUGUGAAGAAGGUCUUCGGAUUGUAAAGCACUUUAAGUUGGGAGGAAGGGCAGUAAGUUAAUACCUUGCUGUUUUGACGUUACCGACAGAAUAAGCACCGGCUAACUCUGUGCCAGCCGCCGCAGUAAGAC